rnacentral:RNase_P_RNA from 1 species
GGAGCGGGACGGGUGAUCGCUGCUCAUUGUUUUGAGUGGAGGAAAGUCCGGACUCCAAUCGGACACGAUGACGGAUAACGUCCGCCGGUCGUGAGAUCAGGGAAAGUGCAACAGAAAAUAUACCGCCGAAAAAUUUUUUUCGGUAAGGGUGAAAUGGCGAGGUAAGAGCUCACCACAAUUCGGGUAACCGGAUUGGUAAUGCAAACCCCAUUGGGAGCAAGGUCAAAUAGGAAUCUAGGUUUGUCCGUGCCGUUUAAGAUUCGGGUAGACUGCUUGAGGAUUUAAGGUAACUUAAUUCCCAGAUAAAUGAUCACCAUUUUGAUUUGUGAUUAAAUCAUAGAUCAAAAAACAGAAUCCGGCUUAUAGUCCCACUCCUUUA